rnacentral:rRNA from 1 species
UCCUUAGUACGAGAGGACCGGGAUGGACACACCGCUGGUGUACCAGUCACACCGCUGGUGUACCAGUUGUCUUGCCAAAGGCAUCGCUGGGUAGCUAUGUGUGGACGGGAUAAGUGCUGAAAGCAUCUAAGCAUGAAGCCCCCCUCAAGAUGAGAUUUCCCAUAGCGCAAGCUAGUAAGAUCCCUGAAAGAUGAUCAGGUUGAUAGGUCAGAGGUGGAAGCGUGGCGACAUGUGUAGCUGACUGAUACUAAUCGAUCGAGGACUUAACCAAAC